GAUAAUAGCUCAGUGGAAAAGCUUAUGCUUUGCAUGCAUAACUUCCCAGGUUCAAUUCCUGGCAACUCCU